GACGAACGCUGGCGGCGUGCUUAACACAUGCAAGUCGAACGAUGAACCCGGAGCUUGCUCCGGCGGAUUAGUGGCGAACGGGUGAGUAACACGUGAGUAACCUGCCCUUGACUCUGGGAUAACUGCGGGAAACUGUAGCUAAUACCGGAUACGACCCUCGGCGGCAUCGCCAGGGGGUGGAAAGAAUUUCGGUCAAGGAUGGACUCGCGGCCUAUCAGCUUGUUGGUGAGGUAAUGGCUCACCAAGGCGACGAUCCAUAGCUGGUCUGAGAGGACGAUGAGCCACCCGGGGACUGAGACAGGGCCCAGACUCCUACGGGAGGCAGCAGUAGGGAAUCUUGCGCAAUGGGCGAAAGCCUGACGCAGCGACGCCGCGUGCGGGAAGAAGGCCUUCGGGUUGUAAACCGCUUUCAGGAGGGACGAAGCCACUCGGGUGAAUAGCCCAGAGGGUGACGGUACCUCCAGAAGAAGCCCCGGCUAAC
rnacentral:rRNA from 1 species